GCGCCCGUAGCUCAGUUGGCAGACCGGUAGAACGGUGAUCCACCGGCUCGGGUUCAAGUCCCUGCGGGCGCU